rnacentral:rRNA from 1 species
AAAAAGGCGGAAGAGACAUUAGGCCCCUUCUUUGCUGAAAGGCCGGACCUCCACAAAGCAUUUGAGUUAUGUGUUGACCAUUGCUUAACCCCAGAAGAGUUCGAAACAAGCUGGAAGGCAAUGAUAGAAAAGUACCAAGUCCAUGACAAUGAGACCCUACAGAACCUUUGGAAUAAGAGAAAAUUCUGGGUGCCAGCUUAUUUUAUGCAGUGUUUCUAUCCCUUCCUGCAGACUACCCAACGCAGUGAGGGGUUUAACGCUGUUAUAAAAAGGUAUGUGAACCCUAGCAAUUCAAUUCUCAGAUUUGUCCAGCAGUACAGCGCAAUACAACAAAUAAUUCUAGGCGCGGAGCUACAAUAG